UACGUAGGGACCAAGCGUUGUUCGGAUUUACUGGGCGUAAAGGGCGCGUAGGCGGCAAUUCAAGUCAUCUGUGAAAUCUCCGGGCUUAACCCGGAACGGUCAGGUGAUACUGUUUUGCUAGAGUGCGGAAGGGGCAAUCGGAAUUCUCGGUGUAGCGGUGAAAUGCGUAGAUAUCGAGAGGAACACCAGAGGUGAAGACGGGUUGCUGGGCCGACACUGACGCUGACAGCGCGAAAGCCAGGGGAGCAAACAGG
rnacentral:rRNA from 1 species